rnacentral:rRNA from 1 species
UUUGCUUAACAAGGAAAUUGCCAUUGAAACUGUUAGACUUGAGAAUGGACGAGGUAGGCGGAAUUCGUAGUGUAGCGGUGAAAUGCAUAGAUAUUACGAAGAACUCCAAUAGUGUAGACUGCUUACCAGACCAUAUCUGACACUAAGGCACGAAAGUGUGGGUAUCAAACAGGAUUAGAUACCCUGGUAGUCCACACAGUAAACGAUGAAUACUAACUGUUUGCGAUAUACAGCAAGUGGUCGAGCGAAAGCGUUAAGUAUUCCACCUGGGAAGUAUGCCGGCAACGGUGAAACUCAAAGGAAUUGACGGGGGCCCGCACAAGCGGAGGAACAUGUGGUUUAAUUCGAUAAUACGCGAGGAACCUUACCCGGGCUCGAACGAUAUUUGAAUACAUCCGAAAAGAUGUAGCUAGCAAUAGCAAAUACCGAGGUGCUGCAUGGUUGUCGUCAGCUCGUGCCGUGAGGUGUCGACUUAAGUGUCAUAACGAGCGCAACCCUUACCGAUAGUUACCAUCAGAUAAUGCUGGGGACUCUAUUGGGACUGCCACCGUAAGGUGUGAGGAAGGAGAGGAUGACGUCAAAUCAGCACGGCCCUUAUGUCCGGGGCGACACACGUGUUACAAUGGGAGAAACAAAGGGUCGCUACCUGGCAACAGGAUGCUAAUCUCGAAAAUCUCUCUCAGUUCGGAUUGGAGUCUGCAACUCGACUCCAUGAAGCUGGAUUCGCUAGUAAUCGCACAUCAGCCAUGGUGCGGUGAAUACGUUCCCGGGCCUUGUACACACCGCCCGUCAAGCCAUGGAAGCUGGAAGUACCUGAAGUAUGUAACUGAAAAGAGCGUCCU